GACGCGGUCGUACGCGACGCAAAAGAUCCCAAGUACCGGGGAGAGAACCCCUCCCAACCCCACCAGCCUCCCGUCGGUCGUCACAUCACCCGCAAGGGUGACAAUCGCCAACUGAGCUGGAUUCUCCGCACGUUGGGGGGCAUAUGCUCGCGGCGAACCACAACCGCAGCCGCACCAUCAGUGGGUGGGGCACGCACCACCGCGGACAUACGACGGCCCCCGGCCGGGACUGGCAUCCCGAUCGAGGGCCUCACCAACAAGGAAGCAACACCUUCCCG
rnacentral:ncRNA from 1 species